rnacentral:rRNA from 1 species
UACGUAGGAUGCGAGCGUUGUCCGGAAUUAUUGGGCGUAAAGAGCUCGUAGGCGGUUUGUUGCGUCUAUCGUGAAAACCUGCAGCUUAACUGUGGGCUUGCGGUGGAUACGGGCAGACUUGAGUUCGGUAGGGGAGACUGGAAUUCCUGGUGUAGCGGUGAAAUGCGCAGAUAUCAGGAGGAACACCGGUGGCGAAGGCGGGUCUCUGGGCCGAUACUGACGCUGAGGAGCGAAAGCGUGGGGAGCGAACAGG